UACGUAGGGUCCGAGCGUUGUCCGGAAUUAUUGGGCGUAAAGGGCUCGUAGGCGGUUGGUCACGUCGGGAGUGAAAACUCAGGGCUCAACCCUGAGCGUGCUUCCGAUACGGGCCGACUAGAGGUAUGCAGGGGGAGAACGGAAUUCCUGGUGUAGCGGUGGAAUGCGUAGAUAUCAGGAGGAACACCGGCGGUGUAGACGGCUUACUGGACCAUGACUGACGCUGAGGCACGAAAGCGUGGGGAGCAAACAGG
rnacentral:rRNA from 1 species